CUUCCGUUUGGGGGACCUGCGGAAGGAUCAUUA
rnacentral:rRNA from 1 species